GACGAACGCUGGCGGCGUGCUUAACACAUGCAAGUCGUACGGUAAGGCCCUUUCGGGGGUACACGAGUGGCGAACGGGUGAGUAACACGUGAGUAACCUGCCCACAACUUUGGGAUAACGCUAGGAAACUGGUGCUAAUACUGGAUAUGUUCUCCUGCUGCAUGGUGGGGGUUGGAAAGCUCCGGCGGUUGUGGAUGGACUCGCGGCCUAUCAGCUUGUUGGUGGGGUAGUGGCCUACCAAGGCGGCGACGGGUAGCCGGCCUGAGAGGGUGACCGGCCACAUUGGGGCUGAGAUACGGCCCAGACUCCUACGGGAGGCAGCAGUGGGGAAUAUUGCACAAUGGGCGCAAGCCUGAUGCAGCAACGCCGCGUGCGGGAUGACGGCCUUCGGGUUGUAAACCGCUUUCAGCAGGGACGAAGCUUUUUGUGACGGUACCUGCAGAAGAAGCACCGGCUAACUACGUG
rnacentral:rRNA from 1 species